AGUGAACGCUGGCGGUAGGUCUAACACAUGCAAGUCGAACGGCAGCACAGUAAGAGCUUGCUCUUACGGGUGGCGAGUGGCGGACGGGUGAGGAAUACAUCGGAAUCUACUUUUUCGUGGGGGAUAACGUAGGGAAACUUACGCUAAUACCGCAUACGACCUACGGGUGAAAGCAGGGGAUCUUCGGACCUUGCGCGAUUGAAUGAGCCGAUGUCGGAUUAGCUAGUUGGCGGGGUAAAGGUCCACCAAGGCGACGAUCCGUAGCUGGUCUGAGAGGAUGAUCAGCCACACUGGAACUGAGACACGGUCCAGACUCCUACGGGAGGCAGCAGUGGGGAAUAUUGGACAAUGGGCGCAAGCCUGAUCCAGCCAUACCGCGUGGGUGAAGAAGGCCUUCGGGUUGUAAAGCCCUUUUGUUGGGAAAGAAAAGCAGCAGGUUAAUACCCCGCUGUUCUGACGGUACCCAAAGAAUAAGCACCGGCUAACUUCGUG
rnacentral:rRNA from 1 species